rnacentral:rRNA from 1 species
CCUACACGAAGUUGGAAUUGCUAGUAAUCGUGGAUCAGCAUGCCACGGUGAAUACGUUCCCGGGUCUUGUACACACCGCCCGUCACACCAUGGGAGCUGGUAACACCCGAAGUCAGUAGUCUAACCGCAAGGAGGGCGCGGCCUAAGGUGGGUUCGAUAAUUGGGGUGAAGUCGUAACAAGGUAGC